rfam:Glossina brevipalpis unplaced genomic scaffold Scaffold182, whole genome shotgun sequence.
AUGUAUGUAGGGUGUAGAUUUAGUACGUAGGUACCAUGGAUGGUGAAUCGUGCAUGCUACUGGCACGGGUCGGUAGUAUCUUUGGAAGACUCCCACCU